GAAACAAUCCAAAUGCCCAUUCAUAGAUGAACAGAUAAAUAACUGGGAUGCAUACUCACAGUGGACUCAGCCAGCGUAAGAAGGAAUAAAGCACCGCUACGUGCUCCAACAUGGAUGAACCUUGAGAUCAGUAUGUUAAAUAAGCCAGACACAAAAGACCACCCACUGUAUGGUUCCGUUUAUCUGAAAUAUCCAGAACAGGAACGUCUUUACAGACAGAAAGCAGAUUAGGAUUUACGAGCACCUGGGGCGUGACCACUGAAUGGGUGUGGGGUUUUAUGUGGGGGCUGUCCUAUGGUCAGGCCAGCCACGAUGGCGGUUCCCUCGCUCUCUCCACCUGCCCUGCCCGGCCCGGGCCUGCUUCACCAUUAGCUCGCACACACAACUUGCCUUCCUACACGCUUGCCCCAGGCCCCAGCUGGUGAUUAUGCUUCUCAAAGGGGCCGUGAGGAGUUCUGCUACUGCUUUCCCUGGUAGCUAAGGUACCCACCUGACACCAAUUCCCCCAGGAACUGGUGACCUCGCCCUGACCCCGGAAGCAAAGCCUGCCGCCGUGCUUUGCCUGCCUCCAACCUCUGCACACGGUGGGUGUUGCUCCAGGACCAUUACUUCAGACAGCAGCAAUGCCAAUGCCACCAUGACAUUGCCUGUUAGAGCCGUACUUGUCCAUCCUUAUGAAGCCUCUUGGUGAAUGGUUGUGUCCCCGCCUCAAAAGACUCUCUACUGCCAUCUGCUGGAAAUUAUCAUAGCAAACAGGUUCCUGGGAUCUCUCUUUAUCUGGAGGGAGUCCCUGUCUCCCUGGCCGUGGCUUAACCCUUUUAAGGCAAAAGCCAGAAAACAGUGCCUUGGACCACGUGUGGGAGAGCCUGAGCCAGGACCGGAGGGGACCCAGAGGGGAUACUGUGCUGACCAACGCGGGCCCUGGCGCAGACAGAGCUCGGUGGGGUGGGCGUGAUGUGCCGUGUUCUUGUCAUCUGUAUUAUUACUGCCAGCGCUCAGCAUGCUAUGUAUGAUGAAACUGAGGCACAGAGGGGUUUGGUAUUGCGCCCAAGUUUACACAGGGGAGGAGCAGAGCCUGGAGUCCAGCCCAGGUCAUCUGAAGCCAGAGCUGGUGACCAUGCCAUAACUGUCACGGGCCAGAGGAGGGACAAGCAGAGAGCUAAGGCAGGGAAAGAAGAAAGCAUAAUGAAGAAAGUGCACUGAAGACAAGUGUACAGUUCAGUGAAUUCUCACACGUAGAACUCAUCCGUGACGCCAGCGCCCCACCAAAACGGGACAUGGCCACAUCCCUGGGGCUCCCCUCAGUUCACGCUCAUCAGCCGCCUUCCAGAUCGACCUCUGCUGGACCUGUGACUGUAACGGCCUUGAUUGUGCAACACUUUUGUUUUUCUAGUAUAGCUAAGAUGUGCUCAGUGAAGCUUAUGUUGAAAACACGGAAGGCAGAAGCAUAGAGACAGCCUGUUAACAAAUUGAACAGCCUUUUAAAAUGCUAAUUUUUUACUUGAGAUCUAACAUAAGAUUGCACAGGUUGUAAGCAUAAGGCCCAAUACAUUUUCACUGGGUGACCACCUCAUGUUAAUCACCAAAUUGAAACUGAGAACAACACGGCAAGAACCGCUGUUCCAAGGGCAUUGAUCAGCUUUGCCCAAACAGCCUUGUUAUAAUCUUAUUUAUAGUUUUUGAUAAUUUAUUUUACUCAAGGAUAGUUGAUUUACAAUGUUGCAUUAAUUUCUGCUGCACAGCAAAUUCACUUAGUUAUACCUACAUAUACACAUAAAUAUAUAUACAUAUACAUACAUAAAUACACACACACACACACAUUCUGUUUCAUAUUCUUCACCAUUUGGCCCAUCGCAGGAUAUUGAAUAUAGUUCCCUGUGCCAUACGGUGGGCCCUUGUUGCUUAUCCAUCCUAUAGAUAAUAGUGGGCAUCUCCUAACCCCAGCUCUCGCUCCAUCCCUACCCCCGGCUCCUCCUAGG